UCACAUUGAAACACUGAUUCCCAUACGAACAUGGAAGUUAAGCAACAUCGAGCCUGGUCAGUACCUAAAUGGGUGACCACUUGUGAAUACCAGGUGCUGUAAG